GCAGGUUUUGUUUUAAACAAAACAAAAACCGAGCAGUGUCUCCACCAGCAAGUCAAGAGAUCUUAACACUCACAUGAUGAUUUGUGUAGGGUUUUGUUUUGUCCAGUGAGCCAUUUUAAAACAUAAAUUAUAAGAUUGAUACAAAGGAGAAAAAUAAUCACUAAACUGUUCUUCACCGAUUCCUGAUAAGCCCCUGAUCCUGUCUUCUGACCCCACAAAUUGUCAGGGUUCGGUUCAUUAGGACUUAUUUUCCCCAGGAACACUCGAUUAAUACACUUUUAACACAGCCCGACUUUCCUGUACUAGAGAGUUGCAUGCUCCUACAACACUUCCCUCACCCUUUUAGCCCCCACUGAAUAAAGGAACCACCCGAGUAAAGAUGGGUAAGAAUGGGCUCAGAGGUGCUAAUACCCAAAGAGCUGGGAUUUAAAACUCGCCCGCCUAGGCUUCCACCCCUCUCCCACUCAUCUAGCGAUUGUUUGAUUAAAUCAGACUCCACUUGAUAAAAACAAUAGCUCAUUAACGCUUCCCUCCUCCUCCGGUGUGUUGUGAAAUGGUGACAUCCUCUCCCUUGACCUCCGUCUCCUUUUCUGUCUUUCCAUCCCCCUGAAAAAUGAUGCCGCAGCUCUGAUUGAAUUUUAUUCCUUCCUGACCUGGCCGGCUUUUAUGGCACGAGACACCAUCAAUCGCGACCUAACGCGACGUUUGUUUAUGACUUUGGAAAGAAGAGAAUGGCUUUAUGAGCCUGAUCAUAAUUAAAACUGGAGGGACAAAAUUCAUCCCACCACCGCGCUACCUUUGUGCGUAUUUGCCAGCACAUUAAAACACUCCUGAGCUCGAGCCUCUGCAAACACACAGAGAGCUGGGGUAAGCGGCAAGAGGGAGAGGAUAUUUGGAAUAGACACAGAUAAUGAUCGAGGAAGAUUCUCGGCUAGCACAGAAAAUGGUCCUAUUCCACUACAGCUGUUACUCCAGCCAGGAAAAAGACUGCACCUUCCGUCUCAGUGUCUCAAAGUGCUUUACAAAUAUUAAUGGACGAAGCCUCACAACAUCUCAGCGAGCUCUGCAAAGAAGGUGAAGGUGAUACAGAAAGCGAAUGGGGAAACAAACCAGAGAGACAGAUCUCCGCACUAGACGUGCUUACAGAACGGCCAAUUUCUGAGUGUGGCGGUGCUGAGGCUGCAGGGCCUCCUCCUUUCUCACAGUCUCCCAGGGCUGGUGUUUCAAUGAAAGUGAAACAACCCUGCAAGCUACUGGCUACUCCCCCUUUCCCAUCUUCAUCCAGGAGUUAUUUUGUACUCAGCGCAGAAAUGGAAACUGCUUGUGAAGAUGGCUGAUUACAUUUAGAGUGGGAUGGCGGGGGAGGGAGCACUCCUACUGAUGCCAUGGUUUCCAGGAUAAAAUAACAGGCAGUUCAUUCUUGCCAUGGAUUCACUGGCUGCUGCUGUCUCCUUCCACAGCAGCCAAAUGCUGGUACAUUUAAAAAAUUCAUCUACUGCUUACAACACAGACAUCAGCUAUAUCAUGCAUAUGUGCAGCCUGUGGAACAGAACUCAUCAAGACCUUCUGCUCCAAAACCAAACAGGCCUGCUACCUGAGCUAAUGGAGAAUGUCUGAUAGCUAUGGUAGUAAUUGUAGAAGGGGCAUAUGCUCUAUGGGCCAUUCAUUUGCUCAAGGGAGCCAGUCUCUCUCAUGCUCUCUCACACACAAGCACACGAGCAGCUCUGACCAAUAGGGGGUAGUAGUGAUAGACGUUCUAGUCAUUACAUUACAUAAGCGACUGAACACUGUUCCAGAACAUCAUGAGUUUUUGAAUAAAGUGUAGCUAUGUAGAAUCUCCGAAAUGAGGGCACCUCAGGUGAAGAUUUGGGAGGUUGAGCACUUGUAUUGCUUUUGAAUCUGCCUAAUCUGGUUUUAUUGCCUUAUACCUGGCACCCUGGAGAAGGCCAACACAGAGAUUAGAGCUUGGAAAAAGUAUAUUGCCAUUUACUCUUUUUCAAAAUAAUCACAGGAGGAAAAAUGCUCCCUUCAGAAACAUGCAUGCACCUUCCAGGCAAGCCAGUGAGGUUGUGUACAUGUAUCGGUGGAAAAGGAUUUAGACAUGAGUACUAAGGCUAAGAUUUCCCAAACACAGACUAGCCCACUUAAUAUUAACAUGCCUAAGAGACAACCACACAGUUUUCCAUUCACCAUUCAUUUUGCGUUAAUUCAGUACCUGCCUGUUUAAUAUUGAUUUAUUUUAAACACUAUCUUGUUUAAUAGCAAUUGAAAAUCACUGAUACCUGAGCCAAACAGCUCAUUGUGUCAAUUAUUGCCCCACAGUACAAACAUUCCCCCUCCCCCACCAAUUAAUUACACUAUGGAAAACAACUGUGUAGAACAAUGAUAUGGACUGACUGGAAUGAUGAUUUCACUUUUUUGUUUUAUGGAUCCAAUCUGAUGCACACUGGAGUCAGUGGGAGUUCUUCCACUGGCUUAGGUAACUAUCAGCUCAGGCUUUAUUGCUCUCUGGUGAGUUCACACAAAACAGCUGGGGAAAAGAAGACAACCACACCUGUUAUCCCAGUGGAUAGGUGAGUCACCCAGGAUAUGGGAGACUCCCCUCCCCAGUUCAAGUAUCCCUCCACCUGAGGGGAAGAAGGCAUUUGAAAAGGGAUCUGCCACCUCUCAGGUGAGUGCAGGGCCGGCGCUUCCACUAGGCGACCAUAGGCAGUCGCCUAGGGCGGCAGGAUAUGGGGGCGGCAUUUUGCCAUCCUCUGCGGAAAUUUGGUGGCAGGGAGUUCUUCUGCUCCGGGUCUU